rnacentral:ncRNA from 1 species
GUUCCGCUUAACGCGGAUGAAAAGAGAAACCGGUGUGAAUCCGGUACGAUCCCGUCACUGUAAUAGGGAGCGGGCGGCAUAAUGUCACUGAGUAAACCUUGGGAAGGCGCCGCACGCUGUGAACUUAAGUCAGGAGAACUGCUUGUCU